UUCCAGACUCCUACGGGAGGCAGCAGUGAGGGAUAUUGGGCAAUGGGGGAAACCCUGACCCAGCGACGCCGCGUGAGGGAAGACGGUCUUCGGAUUGUAAACCUCUGUCUUUGGGGACGAAAAAGGACGGUACCCAAGGAGGAAGCUCCGGCUAACUACGUGCCAGCAGCCGCGGUAAUACGUAGGGGGCGAGCGUUAUCCGGAUUCACUGGGCGUAAAGGGAGCGCAGGCGGCACGGCAAGUCCGGUGUGAAAGCCCGGGGCCCAACCCCGGGACUGCACUGGAAACUGCCGGGCUGGAGUGUCGGAGGGGCAGGCGGAAUUCCUAGUGUAGCGGUGAAAUGCGUAGAUAUUAGGAGGAACACCGGUGGCGAAGGCGGCCUGCUGGACGACGACUGACGCUGAGGCUCGAAAGCGUGGGGAGCAAACAGGAUUAGAUACCCGAGUA
rnacentral:rRNA from 1 species